rnacentral:misc_RNA from 1 species
UAUGUUAAGUGAAAUAAGUUAGUCGGAAAUGUUUUACGGUUUCGUUUGUAUGAGGUAUUUAAAGUAGUUAGAUUUGUAUAAAAGUAGAGUGGUAGUUAUAAGGGUUGGAGGAGUGGGGAAAAGAGUUGUUGUUUGUUAGUUAUUUAGUUUUAGAUUCGUAAGAUGAAAAUGUUUUGGAGGUUUGUUUUGUAAUAAUAUGGAUAUAUUUAAGUGAA